UGUAGUUUUUUAGACUGACAAACACUGUGAGCAACAAUACUGAAGAUGGCUGGCCUGUGUUGGAUGGCUGUGGUGCUGGUCUUCAGCCUGUCUGUUGGAAACACUAAGGCUAUGGAUCAGAAUAAGCUUGAAAAAAUUGUAAAAUACAUCCGGGACACGUACUCAACAAAAACCAAUAGCGGACAUAUAAAACACUUCAGUUUGGCUGUAAACAUCCUAGAGAACCAGGACCUGAACAGGCUUCAGGACCUCUUCAAAGCUGAUGAUUUGAAAAAAAAGGAAGUGUACACAAGUACCAAUGUGGUUACAGCAAGGCCUCUAAAGCAUGAGCAUGCAGAGGCACGAGUACUGGCCAACAUACAACCUUUAGCUGCUAGUAGUGAGGGUAAAAGUCUGGUCUUCUAUUCUUACCUUUCUCCAUGUGGCCACAAGUGUACAAACCCAGAACAUGACGAUAAUAUCUUGAAAUUGAUUAAUGAGAAGUUUCCAAAAGGCCAAUGGGCAGAACAUGUUUUUGUGUUUUCCACAAUAUACAUAGAUCAAAAGAAUGAAUUGUCUGACGAUGAAAUUAGAGACGUCCUUAAGCAACUUGGAGGAACUACAUUACAUUACAACAUAUUCCGUUGUGACUACUCAUACAACGCUCAAGCAUCAGACCAUUCAGGUCCAUUCCAAUGCAUCAAGUGCUUCAGCAAUGGAGCUCCAGAACCUGUUGAUGAACGUUGUGUUAAAAAAGAAUUCAUACAGACAUAAAUGUGUAAAACCCAACAGGGGCUGUGGUAGAGUUGCCAUGGAGUAGAGGAGUUCUGGGCUCUACUGUUUUAGGCCAAAAUGAUGGGAAACAAACACAAACACAACUGGAUCCUACUGAAAUUACAUUUAAAGAAAUUGAUUGAUUUAUGCCUAGCGAUGCGCUUUCUCCUUUAAACUACAGUACAAGCUUAAUAAAGUGACACGCUGGGGACACAAACACAUGUCAGAAGUUUGCUUUGGUCCAAUCAUUAACCAGCAUUUUCCUGCACACAAGGUUUUAAGUGAUUGUUUACCUUAACACGGACUGAUUUUGGGGUUCUUCCAUUUAACUGUUGUGAAUUACCAAAUGCCUGCUCUUAAUGGUUGAGUCUCUUUAAAUCAGAGUGUGGUCUAGACUUAGUCUAUCUGUAAAGUGUCCUGAGAUAACUACUGUUAUAAUUAAUAAGAAUCAUGUCCUUCAAUGACUCUCAGUGGUUUUAGGUUAGGAGGAAUUUUCUGUCCUAUCCAAAUAAAAAACUAAACUAACUGAAAUAUGGUAGACUGCUGCGGAGUUUAAACAGCCAGACAAUUAAAUGUUUAAGUGUAUUAUAAUUAUUGCCAAUAUAAACAAAAUUGAAAAAGAUUUGAGAUUUUGAACUGAGAUUUGGUGAAAAAGUAGGCUGACUCCAUUCAACCUAAACAGUUACUGUAACUCUGAGAAUAAAACUAAACAUAUUCUACCCUAUUUCAAAAAGUCAAAGAGUAAAAAUGUUGUUUAUCAAAUACUAAUCAUGUUAAAUGUGGAUGUUUAAUGUGUAUCAACCUCAGUAUUUACAUGAAUCAUGUCAUUGUACUCAAUACUUGUGUAAAGCAAACUGAAUCCUCUGAUGUUCUGCUCUUUCUGAUUAAAGCUUAGCUCAGCAUCCA